AUGCUGAGACGGAUGCUGUCGUAGGCUGAAUAAUGGUCCCCAGAGAUGCUCGAAGAUCCUGUGAAUAUGACAAUUUAUAGAAGCAAGAUGUGUAUGCUGGGAAAUAUUUUGGAGAAUUCUGAGAAGUAUCAAGAAAAAACGGAAAUCUCCAGUAAUCUUCUCAUACCCAGAAAUGAGCCUUAUUAUUUCUGUUUUUAUUUCACGUGUGUAUGUCACACACACACUAUAUUCCUUCAAAUUGGGAGAGUACUGUUUGUAUCUUUAAAUCCUGUUUCUUUUACUUAAUACAUUGUUCCGCAAA